CUGACAGCCCCCCAGGCUCCGGGCCUCCAUUGAUCCAUGGUGCAUGCACAACACAGACUGGGGUAGUGGGAGCCUCUCUCCACCACCAGCGUGUCUCAGCCCAGACGUGGGGGAUCAGCUCGGAGCCAGACAGGAGAGCAGCUCAGCUUUCACAGGCCCCCAGUCCUUACUUUCU
rnacentral:sRNA from 1 species